rnacentral:rRNA from 1 species
CCUACGGGUGGCUGCAGUGGGGAAUAUUGGGCAAUGGGCGCAAGCCUGACCCAGCAACGCCGCGUGAAGGAUGACGGCCCUCGGGUUGUAAACUUCUUUUUUCAAGGACGAAAAAAAUGACGGUACUUGAUGAAUAAGCCACGGCUAACUACGUGCCAGCAGCCGCGUUACUACGUAGGUGGCAAGCGUUAUCCGGAUUUACUGGGGGUAAAGGGCGUGUAGGCGGGACUGCAAGUCAGAUGUGAAAACCAUGGGCUCAACCCAUGGCCUGCAUUUGAAACUGUAGUUCGUGAGUGUUGGAGGGGCAGGCGGAAUUCCGGGUGUAGCGGUGAAAUGCGUAGAUAUACGGAGGAACACCAGUGGCGAAGGCGGCCUGCUGGACAAUAACUGACGCUGAGGCGCGAAAGCGUGGGGAGCAAACAGGAUUAUAUACCCUUGUAGUC